GGGAAUAUUGGCCCCCCUGGAAGAAGGGGAGACCCAGGUCUGCCUGGCAUGCCUGGGUUGUUUGGUGAAAAGGGUCUAAAAGGGUAUAUAGGACAACAAGGCGCAAAGGGGAGAAGAGGAUCACCUGUGAGUACAUAUCCUGUUGUCAUCAUGUAUCCUCUGUAUGGAUCAUAUUAAUGUGUAAAGUGUGUGGGGUUUUCCUUUUCUUUUUUCAUCUAGGGGCUACCAGGAGCUCCAGGACCCCCUGGGAUGUCUUUGAACUUCACAGUAACACAACUGAAGGCAUGUCAAGUGCUUUUAGCUUUCAUUUGUGAUUGAAAAAUGAUG